GUCAAAAUGUUCUUGAUAUUCAGACUAAGUUUUCAUUUUAUCAAAUUUCAGACAUUAUUCAGAAGUUGGAACAACAGAAGAAAGUAAAGGAUAAGAAUCCAGUGUCCCCUAGCCUAUUUGUAAAAAGGGACAUGGUCCCUCAAACUACAAAAGUGGUAUUUGGGGCUCAGUAUCCUGGUCUGUCUCCAUUGUGGUCUGAGGAGAGAGAUCUUCUAUUAAGCAUUUACCAGCAUACCCCUGCUAAAUGCCUUCCCAGCUUGAUAGAACCUGCCAGCUCUUGCAGUCGACUGAUUAUAAGAAACCAGAGUGCCAUUUUUUCAGAGAAGGGAAUAAAAAAGAAGAAAUCAGAAUAACCAACCCAUAAAAAGAUGGGCAUUAUAUUCUGCAAUAAAUCUAAUUUCCUCCAACUAUGCA
rnacentral:lncRNA from 1 species